rnacentral:ncRNA from 1 species
AUUCGAACGUAGAAGAGGAGAAGUAUGCAUCUGCCUUUCCAUUCAGAGAGAGCCGCACACGCUGCGAGCGGCUUUGGAGAGCUUUUGCUGAAAUGCGCCUCGGAGUCUUUUGCCGAAAUAACAGUAGGUAAAAGCGGUUCUCACCGUUAUCUGAGUGAAGCUGGGGAAGCCAUAUGGGCUCGCCCAAAUAGAGUGGAACCGCGCAAAAAGCGUCUCUGUC